rnacentral:rRNA from 1 species
CGCACGGGUGCGUAACACGUAUGCAAUUUGCCUUCAACUGGGGUAUAGCCCGGAGAAAUCCGGAUUAAUACCCCAUAAUGUAUCGAGAUCGCAUGGUUUUGAUAUUAAAGUUCCGGCGGUUGAAGAUGAGCAUGCGCCCCAUUAGCUUGUUGGUGAGGUAACGGCUCACCAAGGCAACGAUGGGUAGGGGGUCCGAGAGGAUGAUCCCCCCACACUGGUACUGAGACACGGACCAG